GCUGGCGGCGUNCCUAACACAUGCAAGUCGGACGCGAAAGCUCCUUCGGGAGUGAGUAGAGUGGCGCACGGGUGAGUAACGCGUAGGUAAUCUACCUCUGGAUUGGGGAUAACUCUGCGAAAGCGGAGCUAAUACCGAAUGGUCUGGCUUUAUUUUGAUGAAGUCGGUAAAGGAUGCCUCUGCAUAUGCAUCUGUCCGGAGAUGAGCCUGCGUCCCAUUAGCUAGUUGGUAGGGUAAAGGCCUACCAAGGCGACGAUGGGUAGCUGGUCUGAGAGGAUGAUCAGCCACACUGGAACUGGAACACGGUCCAGACUCCUACGGGAGGCAGCAGUGGGGAAUAUUGGGCAAUGGGCGCAAGCCUGACCCAGCAACGCCGUGUGAGGGAUGAAGGCCUUCGGGUCGUAAACCUCUGUCAGAAGGGAAGAACGGGCACAGUUCGAAUAGGGCUGUGUUUUGACGGUACCUUCAGAGGAAGCACCGGCUAACUCCGUGCCAGCAGCCGCGGUAAUACGGAGGGUGCGAGCGUUAUUCGGAAUCACUGGGCGUAAAGGGCGCGUAGGCGGCCUGGUAAGUCAGGGGUGAAAUCCCACGGCUCAACCGUGGAAUUGCCUUUGAAACUGCUGGGCUUGGAUCCUGGAGAGGGUGGCGGAAUUCCUGGUGUAGGAGUGAAAUCCGUAGAUAUCAGGAGGAACACCGGUGGCGAAGGCGGCCGCCUGGACAGGUAUCGACGCUGAGGCGCGAAAGUGUGGGGAGCAAACAGGAUUAGAUACCCUGGUAGUCCACACCGUAAACGAUGGAUACUAGGUGUUGGGGGCAUGACCCUCAGUGCCGGAGCUAACGCGUUAAGUAUCCCGCCUGGGGAGUA
rnacentral:rRNA from 1 species